rnacentral:rRNA from 1 species
UGGUGGAGCGAUUUGUCUGGUUAAUUCCGUUAACGAACGAGACCUCGACCUACUAAAUAGUUCCAUUCAAGUUUCGGCUUGGAUUGGUUUGACUUCUUAGAGGGACUAUCGGUGUGUAGCCGAUGGAAGUUCGAGGCAAUAACA